GAUGAACGCUGGCGGCGUGCCUAAUACAUGCAAGUCGAGCGAACGGACGAGAAGCUUGCUUCUCUUAUGUUAGCGGCGGACGAGUGAGUAACACGUGGAUAACCUAUCUAUAAGACUGGGAUAACUUCGGGAAACCGGAUCUAAUACCGGAUAUUAUUUUGAACCGCAUGGUUCAUAAGUGAAAGACGGUCUUGAUGUCACUUAUAGAUGUAUCCGCGCUGCAUUAGCUAGUUGGUAAGGUAACGGCUUACCAAGGCAACGAUGCAUAGCCGACCUGAGAGGGUGAUCGGCCACACUGGAACUGAGACACGGUCCAGACUCCUACGGGAGGCAGCAGUAGGGAAUCUUCCGCAAUGGGCGAAAGCCUGACGGAGCAACGCCGCGUGAGUGAUGAAGGUCUUCGGAUCGUAAAACUCUGUUAUUAGGGAAGAACAUAUGUGUAAGUAACUGUGCACAUCUUGACGGUACCUAAUCAGAAAGCCACGGCUAACUACGUG
rnacentral:rRNA from 1 species